rnacentral:rRNA from 1 species
GAUGAACGCUGGCGGUAUGCUUAACACAUGCAAGUCGAACGGACUCUUCGGAGUUAGUGGCGGACGGGUGAGUAACGCGUGAGAAUCUGCCUUCAGGUCGGGGACAAUAGUUGGAAACGACUGCUAAUACCCGAUGUGCAGCAAUGUGAAAGAUUUAUUGCCUGAAGAUGAGCUCGCGUCUGAUUAGCUAGUAGGUGUGGUAAUGGCGCACCUAGGCGACGAUCAGUAACUGGUCUGAGAGGAUGACCAGUCACACUGGGACUGAGACACGGCCCAGACUCCUACGGGAGGCAGCAGUGGGGAAUUUUCCGCAAUGGGCGAAAGCCUGACGGAGCAAUACCGCGUGAGGGACGACGGCUUUUGGGUUGUAAACCUCUUUUCUGAAGGAAGAAUUCAAUGACGGUACUUCAGGAAUCAGCAUCGGCUAACUCUGUGCCAGCAGCCGCGGUAAU